AUACGGAGGGCACAAGCGUUGUUCGGAAUCACUGGGCGUAAAGCGCGCGUAGGCGGAUUGAUCAGUCAGAGGUGAAAUCCCAGGGCUCAACCCUGGAACUGCCUUUGAUACUGUCAGUCUUGAGUUCGAGAGAGGUGAGUGGAAUUCCGAGUGUAGAGGUGAAAUUCGUAGAUAUUCGGAGGAACACCAGUGGCGAAGGCGGCUCACUGGCUCGAUACUGACGCUGAGGUGCGAAAGCGUGGGGAGCAAACAGGAUUAGAAACCCCGGUAGUCC
rnacentral:rRNA from 1 species